UUGGCAAGCCGGGUGAUCGGGACGUACAAUUUUGUGCGCAAGCGCAAAAAUGUUACGUUCAGGAAAAUCCGAACACUCUCCGCCUCAACGGCGGAUAAACUACUCCGGGUAAUACCCGGCCCCGCCAACAGCUACGCAGUUGCGGGCGGGAGGGGUGCGAACAGUGACGAUGUCCGCCGACGAGGCGGAAGUGAAACGGCUAAAUCCCUGUAGAGUGCAAGAGUAAACCCAAGGGUUUGCAUUCAUGUAGACUUCUUGGUGAAAAGUAACUCGCUUGAGCCUGAGAGUAAUCGAAGGCCUAGAUAGAUGAUCGCCUACCCGCCCGACCGAACGCAGUUGGUCGUUCGGGCGAGGAAACAGAAUUCGGUUUACGAGCUUGCCAAGACA
rnacentral:RNase_P_RNA from 2 species